UGUUUUAGCUGGCUGUGUGCAGGCGGGAGGGAGGGGGCGGGAGGAGCUGCCGGUGGCCGGCUUCGCUCACGGAGCGUGGUGCACGGUGUGCGGGGGCGGAGAAGUACGCAAGCGGCUUCGAGGUGUAGCCUCAGCGGGCAUGGAUGCCCAGGGUGCGCCCUUCUACCGGCUGUUGGCCAGGGACAGCAGGAUGCUGGUGAGGACGCACCGUCCCCAGUCUUGGACAGUCUUCAGUAUGGUUACUGGUUCAUUUGACUCUCACAGCUACCUGUAACGAUCUGCUGGAAAAUUGGUGCUCUAGAUGAACUUCUGUAAUGGACUGGAGGCCCCUUCUUGAAGAAUGGCUACUAACAAUGCUGUCACCUCCAUGUCCAAAUUGAAGUAGGGAGCUGGCUGGGACACAACUGGUACCGCUAUGGGAUGUUUUUGCUGAAACGAAAACUAUGCCAAUGGCGCCUACCCCCCAAGAAUGCCAUCUUUCUGGUGAGAGAAGCUCAGAGGCUUCAGUUUCCACAUAGGCUUGUCUCUAAAGCUCGGUUCGAGUUUUAGCUCCAUAUGGAUCUGGUGCUCUCAAACUCCACCUGCUUCCAUGGAAGAUGCGGUCGCGAGGGCCCGAGAACCUGCCACUGGUCACAGAUUCCAGCGUUGGCCUCUGUGGACUUGACACGCACGACUCCCCAGGAAACUGGCCGCUUUCCCCCCCUCCUCGGACCGGCGUAGCAGUAGCCGCUACACUUGCACUUGAGACGCCUUCCCCUCAGUGC